rnacentral:lncRNA from 1 species
AAAUUUAUGUUUCAAUGAUGGUCAGCUUGGUCAUAUGCAGAAAAAUUAUCCAAUAGCCUAAGUUUCCACUGGAGAUAAUAAGGUCCUGGUUGAAAUUUCUUUAGCUCCUGCACCUAAGGGUGCCACACUAGGUACCGACAAUGGCCGAAAUUGCCUCUAUGCACUUGCCACUCAUCAGGAAUUUGAGGCAUCCCCAUAUGUUGUCAAUGGUAUGUUAUUGCUCUUCUCAUGUGAUUUCAUUAUUUUGUUGUUUCAGGUUCUACCCUAUCUUAUCUGACC